rnacentral:sRNA from 1 species
AUUUGUCGAUUGUGUGUCACAUUCGCUUAACACUCGUGAUGUAGUAGUUGGUG